UCUACCCACUUCUCUAUAAUUAUUUAUUUGAGAUGUGUAUUGGUCUAUAAUUGGACCUUCUUCCUCUUCUUCAUCAUCAUCUCCUUCCAUGACCUUUCAAUUAGGAGCUUCUUCAUCUUCUUCAUCAUCAUCUCCUUCCAUCCAUCCACGGAAUCAUGAUGUAUUUUUUAGCUUUAGAGGUAAAGAAGUUCGCCACAAGUUUAUUUCUCAUCUAAACAGUGCUUUGCGCCAAAGUGGAAUCAAGACUUACAUGGAUGGCGUUGACCUUGAAAGAGGAGAGCAAAUUUCAUUUGAACUUUUCAAAGCAAUUGAAGAGUCAAGGAUUUCGAUCAUUGUACUUUCUAAAAAUUAUGCAGAAUCCAGAUGGUGUUUAGACGAGCUAUUGAAGAUUCUUGAGUGCAAGAAAAUAAUGAAACAAAUUAUUCUACCAAUAUUCUACGAGGUGAAACCAUCGGAAGUACGAGAUCAUGAAAAAGGAUGUUUUGGAGAAGUAUUCACUAGACUUGGAAAGAAAAUCAAGCUGGAUGACAUGAAGUUCUUGGAGUACUGGAAGGAAGCUUUAGAAGAAGUAGCCAAAUUAUCCGGAUUGGAAUAUAUAGCAUUCGGGGCACAAACAAUGUUGCAGGCAUGAUAAUAGAAAUGCCUGAAGGCGAGGAUGCGAUAAGCUUGGAUCCUGAAGCAUUUGUAUAGAUGAAAAGACUUAGAGUACUUAUCAAUCGUAAUGCAAGGUUUUCAAGUGGACCUGAUUAUCUCUCCAACGAGUUAAGAGUACUUGAUUGGUUUGAAUAUCCACUACAAUCUUUGCCACCCAAUUUCCAUGGAAAAAAACUCAUUAUCUUUCAAAUGCAUAGUAGCUUCAUUGGGGAGCUAAGCUUCAUCAAGUCUUUCAUCAAGUUUAAGGUAUUUACAAUUUUCACAUAAAUAAAUUCAUUAUCUUUAAAAUGCAUGGUAGCUUAGUCAAGGAGUUAAGCUUUAUCAAGCCUAAGGUACCUGCAAUUAUCAUCUUCAAUAACUUUGUUUCUCUAAUCUAUGUGCUAAACUCCUUUCCAUUCGUUUUUUUUCCUUUUUUAACAGGAUAUGACAAUUAUGAGUUUCUAUGAUUGUAAUUUCUUAAAAAAAAUUCCAGAUCUUUCAAGCAUCCCAAAUUUAGGGAUUUAUAUGUUGAAAGGUGUACAAGUUUAGUUGAGGUGCAUGAUUCCAUCGGAUCCCUGGAGAAUCUUUUUCAUUUGUGUUUUAUCAGAUGCUCUAACCUCCGAAUUUUUCCAACAAGCCUCAAGUUGAGAUCUUUACACGAACUUAAUCUUAGUGGUUGCUUAAGCCUCCAUAGCUUUCCUGAAAUUCAGUGUGAAAUGAAAUCAUUAUGUACAUUAAAUCUUGGUAGCACAGGAGUGGAAGAACUACCUUUGUCCAUUGAAAACCUCACUGGACUUCAUGUUUUAUUUCUAAAUGACUGCAAAAAUCUUAUGCGUCUCCCAAUUAACAUCAUUAUUCUGUUGCAACAUUUAAGAGAGCUUAAUAUUGGUGGUUGUACAAAUCUGCUGAAGAAGAUGGGGGAUGAUCGUCGGAAUUCUUUCCAAUCAGAAUCAAGUUUCUUUCCAAUAUCAAGUUUUUUUACCAUGUUUAAUUUCUCGGCCACUUUGGCUUCUUUAGAUUUGUCCGAAAGUGAAAUUGUUAGCCUUCCCACCAGCAUCAAAGGAUUUGUUGCACUUAUUGAGCUCUACUUGAGAGAUUGCAAGAAACUUGAAGAAAUCUUAGAACUUCCACCAAAUAUAGCAAAUGUAUUUGUUGAUGGAUGCCAGUCGUUAGAGAGAUUUCCAGAAGUAUCAAGAAUAUUAGAAUUCAAUGGAAGUCACAACAGAUCGUUAGGUUGUAUUGGCUUGCAUGGCUGUGACAAAAUGCAUGAGAAGAUUUGGAAUUAUAAAGUGCCAAAUCCAUUAUUGUGGAAGGUAUGUAUCUGUCUUAUCCUCUCUCUGAAUUCUAUAUAAGAUGCAUGACUUUAAAAUAAAUGAUGAUGAUGAUAUUGUUUUAAUAGGGACAUUAUAAUGCCACUGUGCUACUAGAAAAUGAGAUUUCAGAGUGGUUAUGGUAUCAGAAAAAAAUUUUAGAAAAUGAAAUUGCUAAGAGAGGGGAUGAUGAUGUCCACUUGAAAGGAAAUGAAGAAUGGGUAAUAAAUAUUGAGGGGCCACACUAUUUGGAGGAUAUAAGCGGAAUUGUAAUAUAUGCCGUUACAUUUUUUAAUGAAGAUCUUAGGGAUGAGAAUUUUUUAUUGGAUGCUGACGUAACCAUUAACAGCUCAAAUUGUAUAUGCCGUAUUGAUACAAAAGAAAGUCUAUGUUUGUCUUAUCAUAAUGUAAAGAAUAAUAUCGCAGCCAUAGACCAACAUGAAGUAUGGAUGCGGUACUCUGAUUUAGAAUCAUUUGAGGUAAAGGUUUUGGACAAUUUGAGGGUUCAACUUUGUAUUGCCAAUCCCUCUUUGGGCACGUCUUUGGUCACGGUAUUAUUAUAUAAGUUGGGGAGCCAAUGUUGUAUACAGGCAUGAAAGCAGAGCACGUUAAAGAAGAAAAAUGGAUUGAAUUAAAUGAUAGCCCAAGUGGAAUUUCAGGGAGUUUGUGUCAGCCCAGAUUGGUGUGUUAUACUGAGGCUCGGGAAGGUACAAAUUGAUCACUUGUUCUUCAUUUCUUGACAACAAAUGUAACUUCGCAAAUCGAUUUCUCCUGAAUAAUUUUUCUCCAUUAAGAUUGAUGAUGAUUGAUUAGCAAAAGCUAAGAAGUAUUUUUGUUUGGUUUGAGUCAGACAGCACAUGAAUGCUAUUCUUUUCUUGAAAAGAAGUGGCUGCUAAUUUUCCUCUGGGGACAGCUUAAUUGUCAUUUGUAGGCCCAAGAGAACCAGAUAUGCUAUAUUGUGUUAACAUUUUAUCUUCUUUUUUAGAUCGCUCUUUGUUUCACAAUGUAGCUCCAUCGGAGGUAUGACAUCAAAUAGGAAGUUUUGGAGAAGCAUUUAUUAAACUUGGAUGUAAGAUCAAGGAUGAAGUAAAGGUUACAAAGUGGAAGGCAACUUUACAUAAAGUAGCCAAUUUUUUCGAAUUCACGUUAGGGGACAAGUACUUUUAUAUUUGUUUACACAUGAUGUUAAAGAGAAGUUAAUGGGAGAAUCUUAGAGUUCGCAAAUUGAUCAUUAUGAUAUGAUGCCUUGCCAAAUAUUUGAUAUUUAUCAAUCUUUUCGGCAUUGAAUUUUGUGCAUACCAUACUUAAAUUAGAAAUCUUUUCUUAUUGAGGGAUUUAAUAUCGUACUACCACAUUCAUUUCAUAUGAAGUUUAUAGGACAAAUAGAAUAGAAGAACAUGAAAAUAUACAAAUAGAAAUCUUCUCUCUCUCUCAUUUUUUUUUCCUUUAUUUUUGGGCUCUAUAAAGAAUAAACAAAAGUUCUAAGCUUCGAAUAUUUCCAAGAAGACUCAAGUUGAGAUCUUUACUCUACCUUAAUCUUGGUGAUUGCUCAAACCUUCGUGAAUUUCCUGAAAUUGGGCGUGAAAUGAAAUAUUUAAGUUCAUUAAAUCUACUUCGCACCGCAGUGGAAGAACUACCUAUAUCUAUUAGGAACCUCAUUGGACUUGAUGUUUUAAUUAUAAAUGGCUGCAAAAACCUUGUGCUUCUCCAAAUUAACAGCAUUUUUCUGCUGCAAAAUUUAUGCAAGCUUGGAAUUGGUGGUCCAAAAGUGGAAGAUGAGAUUUUAUUGAGUGAAGAAAGACUCCUUGAAUUGCUGCAUCCAACGAAUUCAAGCACUGCAUUACAAGUGUUGAAUCUUCCAAAUUGUCCCCAAAUAGAAUCAAGUUUCUUUUCAAAAUCAAGUUUCUUUGCCGUGUUUAAUUCCUCGGCCACUUUGAGAAAGUUAAUUCUAUUGGAAAGUGAGAUGGUUAGCCUUCCCACGAGCAUCAAAAGAUUUGUUACACUCAAUGAACUCUACUUGCGGGAUUGCUAAAAACUUGAAGAAAUCUUAGAACUUCCACCAAAUAUAAAAAGUGUAGAUGCUACGGGAUGCAUAUCGUUACAAAGAUUUUCCAAAGUAUCAAGAAUAUUGAAAUUCGAUGGAAGCCUUAUCAGAUCACUACGGAUGAUUCAAGUAGGUGGCUGCGAAAAAAUGAAUGAGUAGAUUUGGAAUUAUAAAGUGCCAAAUCCUUUACUGUGGAAGAGACAUUAUAACACCACUGCGUUAUAGAAGUUGUGGAAGUUGCGGAGCCAAUGUUGUAUACAAACACCAAAGCAGAGCACAUAAAAGAAGAAAAUUGGAUUGAAUUGUUUUGGGAUUUUUAGUACUCUUGGAAUCCAAUCCGUAGCCAUAUACAGAAGGAAAGAGGGAUUCUUAAACUUGGGUUAUCAACUUCCAGAUUUGGUGCAGAAGGACUAUGAUGAUCCAAAGGUGUUCUUCAACCUGGGGCACCAAACUUCCAGAUCAGAUGGAGAAGGACCAAGCGACAGCAAAGGAAGAGAAAAGGGGAUGGGCGAACGGAGGUGAAGCGGCUUACCUUCCUUUCAUUCCAAUAUCUCCUGCGACUUCCUCACUCCUCAGCACUUGGGAGUAUGUCACCUGGUUUGGCCUGGCUGAUGAAAGAUGUUUUUAUUAUGAUGAUUGAAAGGUAGAUUAGGAGUCAGAGCUUUGACUUGGAAUCAAACACAAUCCAUUGUUUGAGAUGGAUGUAUGACUAGUACAUUUAAAAGAGCUGAAUCUUAAGAACACUCACCUAUUGCCACUAU